GGGCGCUUAGCUCAGCUGGUUAGAGCACCUCCCUUACAAGGAGGGGGUCGGGGGUUCGAGUCCCUCAGCGCCCACCA
rnacentral:tRNA from 2 species